CUCACCUCCUUCUCCUCAAUCAUCAGACGGUCCUUCAGGUCAGGCCGCUGUAAUUGGCCCAUUGAUUGGUGACAAGUCUGAUGCAAACCGGCGCAAAUGGACAAACAGAGAAGUGACAGGUGGCCAAGAUGAUGCAUACCUACAUCAACCUCUGUGAGCAACAGCAUAAACAGACUGCAGGACAGACAGCAUGAAGGGAGGGAGGCCUGGUGUCUCGGCUAACGUCCUGCGGGGUGGGACGGCGAGGCUGGCAGCAGAGACGAGGCUCGGCGAUGUGGGGGAGAGCAGGUGUGUGAGUCAGCAGAAACAUCUGAACCAAGGUAAUGUCACAAAGUCAUGAAGCCGGGGGAGGCAGGACGACCAGCUGAGCUGACUUAAUGGUGGAGAAGGAACCCACAUCUGGUCAAUGUGUCACUGUCGGUUAGAUAACGAUGCCAGAGGCGGGAGAAAUGUGUGGUUUUAGACAACUUUCUGACACAAAUAUUUGAGGUCCAACUUAAGUUUGAAGACUUCUGAAUAAAAAAAUAGCCUCAAAUAUAAUAAAACUAAUUCUGUCAGUGAAAUGUGUUUUUCUGCUGUAAUUCCUGAUUAAAAGAACAAGAACUGCUAUAACACUGUCAGACUCAUAAUGGAUCUAAAUCCACUGAUUUCUCACUCCCAACUCGUCAAAUACAGUCAGUAACUUCGAAAUAUGACUCUGUUGGCCUACAGUGAUAAUAAAGUUAAAAGUUUAAGUUCACUUGGACUUUAAUAAAUAGACCUUAUUUUAGAAAUUUAACAAAAAAACUCAUUGCCUGUGAAGCGAGGUAAUAAGGACUGUAUUUAAGUAUUUUUGUGCAUUUAUUCCAGUGUUGAUGUCCAUACUGAGAAAAGUCACUUGUUAUCUUUAGUUGUUUGAUGAAUGCUUUUGCACAAAAGGUAUGUGCACGUAGAACUGGAAGUCUGCCUCCUCUGUGCACUCUGUAACCUCGACUCUUUUGCUUCCUCUUGCUGUCACUUGUUUUAGUUUUCACUCCUUUAUAUUCCCGUCUGUCUCCCUCACACACACACACACACACACACACACACAGCAUAUUGUCCCCUGUAAUUAUAACUGAAUUAUCGUCACAAUCAAAGGCUCCAUUAUCACUGUU
rnacentral:lncRNA from 15 species